UCACCGGGUGUACAUCAGCUAA
rnacentral:miRNA from 1 species